GUCAAAAUAUUGAUUUCACUAAAAACUUUGUAAUUUUUUAAAAUUCAUAAUUCAAAACAUGCAUAAGAAAUUUAAAAAAUAUUUCACUUAUCUAUUGAGAAAAAGUCUAAUAUUUUGUUCAAAUGUUGGAUUAUUUCUUUCUCCAAUAUUUAUGCUAAGUUUCUAAUUCCAAGAUCUCUCUCUCUUGAAUCAUUAAUUUUUUUUCAUAAUUUGUGUAAUUGUUAGUGUUUAUUUCAAAUAUUAAUCUAUUAACUUUCAAUUCAAUCUAACUGAUUGAUUGUUGCAAAUUU
rnacentral:lncRNA from 1 species